rnacentral:rRNA from 1 species
UACGUAAGGGGACCAAGCGUUGUUCGGAAUUACUGGGCGUAAAGCGUGCGCAGGCGGUUUCUCAAGUCAGGGGUGAAAGCCCGGAGCUCAACUCCGGAAUUGCCUUUGAAACUGUGAAGCUAGAGUGCGGGAGAGGUGAGUGGAAUUCCCAGUGUAGAGGUGAAAUUCGUAAGAUAUUGGGAAGAACACCGGUGGCGAAGGCGGCUCACUGGCCCGUUUCUGACGCUCAUGCACGACAGCGUGGGGAUCAAACAGG